rnacentral:rRNA from 1 species
AACGAACGCUGGCGGCAUGCCUAACACAUGCAAGUCGAACGAACCCUUCGGGGUUAGUGGCGCACGGGUGCGUAACACGUGGGAAUCUGCCCUUUGCUUCGGAAUAACAGUUAGAAAUGACUGCUAAUACCGGAUGAUGUCGUAAGACCAAAGAUUUAUCGGCAAAGGAUGAGCCCACGUAGGAUUAGGUAGUUGGUGGGGUAAAAGGCCUACCAAGCCGACGAUCCUUAGCUGGUCUGAGAGGAUGAUCAGCCACACUGGGACUGAGACACGGCCCAGACUCCUACGGGAGGCAGCAGUGGGGAAUAUUGGACAAUGGGCGAAAGCCUGAUCCAGCAAUGCCGCGUGAGUGAUGAAGGCCUUCGGGUUGUAAAGCUCUUUUACCAGGGAUGAUAAUGACAGUACCUGGAGAAUAAGCUCCGGCUAACUCCGUGCCAGCAGCCGCGGUAAU